GUUAUUCAUAUUUAUUUUUAUCGGGAUAUGAUUUUUUAGCACUAGUAUGAUAUGAUAUAAAUAUCACAAACAAUCUAACAAAUUAAUUAGAAUUGUUGUAGUUUAGUGACUUUAGCUUGAGAAAAACUUUUAUUUAUUUAUUUAUCUUCUAUUUGAUUUAUUUUUUAUUUUCUUACUUUAAUUAGGGUUAGGGAAUUUAUUUGUGAAGUUGGGUCUUGUUGUUUUGGACUUUUU
rnacentral:lncRNA from 1 species